rnacentral:rRNA from 1 species
UACGGGGGGGGCAAGCGUUGUUCGGAAUUACUGGGCGUAAAGGGUUCGUAGGUGGCCAACUAAGUCAGACGUGAAAUCCCUCGGCUUAACCGGGGAACUGCGUCUGAUACUGGAUGGCUUGAGUUUGGGAGAGGGAUGCGGAAUUCCAGGUGUAGCGGUGAAAUGCGUAGAUAUCUGGAGGAACACCGGUGGCGAAGGCGGCAUCCUGGACCAACACUGACACUGAGGAGCGAAAGCCAGGGGAGCAAACGGG